GACGAGAGACACGGGAGCCCGGGGUACGUCGGGCUGAGAGUGCGGGUCGAGCCCCCGCUGACCGUUGGACCUGAUCCGGGUAAUGCCGGCGAAGGAAGGAUGUCAUCGGUGAAU
rnacentral:ncRNA from 2 species